rnacentral:rRNA from 1 species
AAUAUUGGACAAUGGGGGGAACCCUGAUCCAGCCAUGCCGCGUGUGUGAAGAAGGCCUUAUGGUUGUAAAGCACUUUAAGCGAGGAGGAGGCUUACCUAGUUAAUACCUGGGAUAAGUGGACGUUACUCGCAGAAUAAGCACCGGCUAACUCUGUGCCAGCAGCCGCGGUAAUACAGAGGGUGCAAGCGUUAAUCGGAUUUACUGGGCGUAAAGCGCGCGUAGGCGGCCAAUUAAGUCAAAUGUGAAAUCCCCGAGCUCAACUUGGGAAUUGCAUUCGAUACUGGUUGGCUAGAGUGUGGGAGAGGAUGGUAGAAUUCCAGGUGUAGCGGUGAAAUGCGUAGAGAUCUGGAGGAAUACCGAUGGCGAAGGCAGCCAUCUGGCCUAACACUGACGCUGAGGUGCGAAAGCAUGGGGAGCAAAC